rnacentral:lncRNA from 1 species
CGCCUCGAGCCCGCCGGUUGGAGAAGACAGCUCCGCAGUCUUUACGUCACCGCGUGGCUCCGCCUCGCCUUCUGAAGUGACCGCCCCCUAAGCAAGAGGACUUGCUUGUGCGCAGGUGCGUUCUCAACCGUCUCCAAGUCUCGCGUUCAACCAGUAUACAAUCUUCUCCAUGAAGACUUCCCAGAUACAGAAAGUUAAUGCUUUUUCCUCAAUUUUCCUGGUGUUGUCACUUAUUUGUAGACUGAUGAACAG